rnacentral:rRNA from 1 species
GUAGGUGGCAAGCGUUGUCCGGAAUUAUUGGGCGUAAAGCGCGCGCAGGCGGUUCUUUAAGUCUGAUGUGAAAGCCCACGGCUCAACCGUGGAGGGUCAUUGGAAACUGGAGAACUUGAGUACAGAAGAGGAAAGCGGAAUUCCACGUGUAGCGGUGAAAUGCGUAGAGAUGUGGAGGAACACCAGUGGCGAAGGCGGCUUUCUGGUCUGUAACUGACGCUGAGGCGCGAAAGCGUGGGGAGCAAACAGGGAUUAGAUACCCUGGUAGUCACGCCGUAAACGAUGAGUGCUAAGUGUUAGGGGGUUUCCGCCCCCUUAGUGCUGCAGCUAACGCAUUAAGCACUCCGCCUGGGGAGUACGGCCGCAAGGCUG